CAGUCUUUGCGUUUGGUACCAGCAAACGAGGAGCUCACUUUUUAAAUGUUGCAAUCGAAUUUUGUUGUUUAUCAGGCGUAUCGUGCCUUAUCUAAGAAAUCGUAUGGCGCAUUCAUUAAGAAGAAAAUGAUUUUAUUAAAAAAAGAGAUUUUAUUGAGCAGAAGGGAUUUUACUUCGGACAGCAGAUGCAUCGGAAACAAUCAAACAACGCUAGUUAUAAAAAGCGCCGAGUUUUGCAAUAUUUCAUCAGUUCUUCACAAGAAAUAACAUGAACAAGUCAGCACUUCUACUUUUGCUUCUCAUCGGACUUCUCGUCCUCACUGAAACUACAACUGCGUGGUGGGGCCGUCGUCGUCGUCAUGUUACAGCUUAUGACCAACAGGAAAUACCAGAAAUGAACGAAAUUCCAGAUAUGGAAUCCGAGGACGGUUUCACAUGGUCUCUCCGUGGAUAAGAAUAACUACUUAAUCGUGUAUAAGCUGCAAUCGUACGAUUUUAAUAAAUUGAACACCAGCAAAACAUA